AACGAACGCUGGCGGCAUGCCUAACACAUGCAAGUCGAACGAGACCUUCGGGCCUAGUGGCGCACGGGUGCGUAACGCGUUGGAACCUGCCCUUAGGUUCGGCAUAACUCGCCGAAAGGGGUGCUAAUACCGGAUAAUGUCUCCGGACCAAAGAUUUAUAGCCUUUGGAUGGGCCCGCGUUGGAUUAGCUAGUUGGUAGGGUAAACGCCUACCAAAGCGACGAUACAUAGCUGGUCUGAGAGGAUGAUCAGCCACACUGGGACUGAGACACGGCCCAGACUCCUACGGGAGGCAGCAGUGGGGAAUAUUGGACAAUGGGCGAAAGCCUGAUCCAGCAAUGCCGCGUGAGUGAUGAAGGCCUGAGGGUUGUAAAGCUCUUUUACCCGGGAUGAUAAUGACAGUACCGGGAGAAUAAGCUCCGGCUAACUCCGUG
rnacentral:rRNA from 1 species